rnacentral:rRNA from 1 species
AACGAACGCUGGCGGCAGGCCUAACACAUGCAAGUCGAACGCUCCAGCAAUGGAGAGUGGCAGACGGGUGAGUAACGCGUGGGAACCUUCCCUAUGGUUCGGAAUAGCCCAGGGAAACUUGGGGUAAUACCGGAUAAGCCCUUCGGGGGAAAGAUUUAUCGCCAUUGGAUGGGCCCGCGUCGGAUUAGCUAGUUGGUGGGGUAACGGCUCACCAAGGCGACGAUCCGUAGCUGGUCUGAGAGGAUGAUCAGCCACACUGGGACUGAGACACGGCCCAGACUCCUACGGGAGGCAGCAGUGGGGAAUACUGGACAAUGGGCGCAAGCCUGAUCCAGCCAUGCCGCGUGAGUGACGAAGGCCUUAGGGUUGUAAAGCUCUUUUGGCGGGGAAGAUAAUGACGGUACCCGCAGAAUAAGCUCCGGCUAACUUCGUGCCAGCCGCCGCAGUAA